rnacentral:rRNA from 1 species
UGGGGAAUCUUGGACAAUGGGCGCAAGCCUGAUCCAGCCAUGCCGCGUGAGUGAAGAAGGCCUUAGGGUUGUAAAGCUCUUUUGGCAGGGACGAUAAUGACGGUACCUGCAGAAUAAGCCCCGGCAAACUUCGUGCCAGCAGCCGCGGUAAUACGAAGGGGGCUAGCGUUGUUCGGAUUUACUGGGCGUAAAGCGCACGUAGGCGGAUUGUUAAGUCAGGGGUGAAAUCCCGGAGCUCAACUCCGGAACUGCCUUUGAUACUGGCAAUCUUGAGGCUGGAAGAGGUUGGUAGAAUUCCCAGUGUAGAGGUGAAAUGCGUAGAGAUCGGGAGGAACAUCUGUGGCGAAGGCGACUGCCUGGACCAGCACUGACACUGAGGCACGAAAGCGUGGGGAGCAAACA